GAUGAACGCUGGCGGCGUGCCUAAUACAUGCAAGUCGAGCGAACAGAUGAGGAGCUUGCUCCUCUGACGUUAGCGGCGGACGGGUGAGUAACACGUGGAUAACCUACCUAUAAGACUGGGAUAACUUCGGGAAACCGGAGCUAAUACCGGAUAAUAUAUUGAACCGCAUGGUUCAAUAGUGAAAGACGGUUUUGCUGUCACUUAUAGAUGGAUCCGCGCCGCAUUAGCUAGUUGGUAAGGUAACGGCUUACCAAGGCAACGAUGCGUAGCCGACCUGAGAGGGUGAUCGGCCACACUGGAACUGAGACACGGUCCAGACUCCUACGGGAGGCAGCAGUAGGGAAUCUUCCGCAAUGGGCGAAAGCCUGACGGAGCAACGCCGCGUGAGUGAUGAAGGUCUUCGGAUCGUAUAACUCUGUUAUUAGGGAAGAACAAAUGUGUAAGUAACUAUGCACGUCUUGACGGUACCUAAUCAGAAAGCCACGGCUAACUACGUG
rnacentral:rRNA from 1 species